ACUCCAGCAAGCCCGCAGUUGAAAAAGGGCCGAGUAAAGCUCGGCCAUGUUCUUGAACUCCCUCCAGACACAAGCAUUUCCAGACUCCUCCCUAGGCUUGUAGGUAGAGAAGCCUGGACCACAGAGUUCGACAGAGCUCUCCCCUAGAAAGAUUUUACAGCUAUGCCCCUCUCAACGCAUCGAAAACUCAAGUACUGAUGGAGGUUAGAGAGUAGCUCGCA
rnacentral:lncRNA from 1 species